rnacentral:rRNA from 1 species
UACGUAGGUGGCAAGCGUUGUCCGGAUUUACUGGGCGUAAAGAGCGCGUAGGCGGCCCGCUAAGUCGAACGUGAAAUCCCCGAGCUCAACUCGGGAACUGCGUCCGAUACUGGCGAGCUUGAAUCCGGGAGAGGGAUGCGGAAUUCCAGGUGUAGCGGUGAAAUGCGUAGAUAUCUGGAGGAACACCGGUGGCGAAGGCGGCAUCCUGGACCGGCAUUGACGCUGAGGCGCGAAAGCUAGGGGAGCAAACGGG